CCGAGUGAGGGCCUCUGGCCCGACCUCCAACCCUUUGUUGACCUAACACCUGUUGCCUCGGGGGCGACCCGGCCUCCGCGCCGGCCCCCGGUGGACCACCUAACACUGUCUCUGUACGUCGGAGUACUUGAUAAAUCAAUCA
rnacentral:misc_RNA from 1 species